rfam:Plicaturopsis crispa FD-325 SS-3 unplaced genomic scaffold PLICRscaffold_2, whole genome shotgun sequence.
GCCCGGCUAGCUCAAUCGGAUAGAGCGUCAGACUCUUAUGAGUGUCGGGUUUCAUCAGACCGUCAUCUGAAGGCUGCGAGUUCGACCCUCGCGUUGGGCU